rnacentral:tRNA from 1 species
UCCCUAGUGGUCCAGUGGUUAAGACUCUGUCUUCCGAUGCAGGUGACACAGGUUCGAUCCCUGGUUGGGGAA